AUUGAACGCUGGCGGCAGGCCUAACACAUGCAAGUCGAACGAGUGGCGGACGGGUGAGUAAUGUCUGGGAAACUGCCUGAUGGAGGGGGAUAACUACUGGAAACGGUAGAUAAUACCGCAUACCAUCGGAUGUGCACAGAUGGGAUUAGCUAGUGGGUGGGGUAACGGCUCACCUAGGCGACGAUCCCUAGCUGGUCUGAGAGGAUGACCGGCCACCCUGGAACGGAGACACGGUCCAGACUCCGACGGGAGGCAGCAGUGGGGAAUAUUGCACAAUGGGCGCAAGCCUGAUGCAGCCAUGCCGCGUGUAUGAAGAAGGCCUUCGGGUUGUAAAGUACUUUCAGCGGGGAGGCGUUACCCGCAGAAGAAGCACCGGCUAACUCCGUGCCAGCAGCCGCGGUAAUUC
rnacentral:rRNA from 1 species